CUUUCGCCCAAAUUCAAUAGCCUGUUUCACAGUGCAAUAACAAACAAAAGAAAAACUUAAAAAUGAUAUUAUAAUGCUAGAAUAUGGAUGAACUGAGUAAUAACAUCAGUCUUAAAUUUACAUUUUCAGGAAAUAACAGGUUUUUUAAUUCAAAAGGCAAAUUAGAAAAUAAUCAAGUCAAUUUGGACCAGGUUACAGUGUAAUUUCAAGAGACAGGAUAGUAACAGGAAGAGUUCACGUCCUCUAACAUCAGCCAGAAAAAUGAAUUUUACUCCAAUAAAAGAUUGUAGAAAUCCACAAAAACCACUGGUGGUCAACUGCAGCAUAUAUUGACACGAAAAAGCAAAUAUGAGGACAUAAAGGGCCUGAUAAAUCUUUGAGUAUAAAACUUUGUAUCCUAGAACUACACAACCCAAAAAAGUUUCAUUGAAGGAAAGCAGAAAGCACAACUAUAAGUACAUAGUGUAAACACACCACAAACACCUGGUAGGCUGCCAAUAAAUUGACUAUGCACAUUAUGCAUGAGAUCAAAGGAUGUUCCAAUCCAUCAAAAUGUUAUAAAACAAGGAGCAGAUUCUGAACUAUGGGAUGGGCUCAAACAUCAAUGGAAACUCCAUGACUUUACAGGAACUACUUGUCUAUUUCAAGUCACAUUGACAAUAAAGUUUUAUUUGAAGCUAUAUUGUAAAACCAGAAGCAAACCACUACGUGUUGUUAUUUUAGGACUGGUUUUAGAUUUCAGACAACAAAGUCUCAGUGCACAGAACUUUAAAACAGGAACAUCAGGAAUGCCUGAGGCACCUCCAGUUAACUCUGUGAUAAACUUAACAUGCUCCCAAGGAAAUUAGUUCUAAAAAGAAAUUCAAAAGCAUGCCUAAGAGGCAUUAAAUCUACACAAAUCAGUUUGCUACGCAAAUGGCAUAUUCUAUGUAAAUUGACCAUCUAGCAAGACUUAAAUAAAUUGGAUUGACCAUCUAGCAAGACUUAAAUAAAUUGGUGCUUCCAACAUAACAAAUAUUAGGGUUCUUCCACCCUAUAUGUCUAACAGACCUCUUCCCUCUCCAGGUACUGAUCUUCUGAUAAGAAAUCAAUAGCCUCUGAACCUAAAAAACAGUUAGAGAACCUCCGCAUCUUAUAGAAUCGGUCUUUAACAACUAUAGAUUCUUGCAUUUUCCGAACAAUAAGAGCUAAUUCAUCAAUGGACCCACUACUGGAAACAUCAUCUUCACCAGAAAGUGGCGGUAGAGGAGCCUCAAAUGCUGGUGCUUCAGUAAUCAAAUAAUCAAUCUUCUCUUCAAGCUUGCCAGAUUCAUCCAAGCCCUUGAGCUCACUUAACCCUCCAAUCACAAUCUCAUUGAAGAAUACUUUAGGAACUGCACAAGACCCUGUAAACUUCUCUAGCUCCAACUUUCUACUAGGGUAUACAUCAAUGUUAAUCUCAACAUAUCUAAGCCUUUUAUUAUACAAGAAUAAUCUGACCUCUUUACAGUUUUGACACCCUAACCUUGUAUAAAGUAUAAUUCUUCCUUUCAUGACUAUAGGUUCUGAUGGUUCUUCAAUGACUCCCACCCCCUGCUCAGUUUUGUUGUCUGCAUCAACAUCUCGAUAACUCAUGAUAUAUUUUAGAGGAUUCCAUGCAGAUCUAUCUAAUGGUUUCUGAGAAGUUUCUGUGGCUUCUUUAUCUCUAGCUGAAUCUAGAGCCUCCUUGUCUUCAUCAGCAGGAAACGGACCAAAUUCAUCUCUUUUGCCAGAAAGGGCACGAAUAAAACUCGUGACAGCAACUACACCUUUCUCCUUGACAAACUUUCGAAGAGCCAUAGCCUUCUCAGGCCAAACAGAUCCCUCAGAUUCAGAAUCAGCACCCAAAGAACGGAAAGAUGUGCUCCUGUUCGCUUCCAUCCCAGGAAUCUCUAUUCCAUCAAAAACAGGAUCUGACUCUUCCUUGGCAAGAUUGUCCCCCAUAGUUAGCUCUGUUCCUUCUUCAGGUUUAGACUCUAAAUUCUUACCCUGACCCAGGUCAAACUGUUGAAUAUCAUCAUUUAACUUUCCUCCUUGAUUUUUAGACUCCAUAUCUCUACUCCCAUCCAUCUUGCUCAAGUCACCAUGUCCAAUACCAUCCCCUAUCUUAUCUCCUUGACAUUUGCAUUCCAAUACACUAUUAUUGUCAAUAUUUUCACCAGUGUCAUCCUUCCCAUCAUCUUUUUCUAAUUUUGAAUCACCCUUGCUGAUAUCCAGAGAUUUCAUCUCCUCUGACGGUGGUGUAUGUUCAUGUUUCAGAACAUCAACAGCAUCUUGCUCCAAUUUUGCAGAAGUUGGAGAUACUGUUAUGCUUUUCUCUGUUAAUGCCUCCUCCAUGAUAAUGACAACAUAUAAGGUCUAAUACAACUCAACAAAGCAUGCUCCUAAAUUUUAAUCCCCCUUGCUCCAGUAGAUAAUUAGAAUAACAGAAACAGAUCUGUAGAGAUAAGAGAUAAGAGGAGCGUUGAAGCGAACAAUUGUCGACAAAUGAGAGUAAAUGGAAGAGAAGAUCUGAGAAGUGUUGCGUGAAACGGUGAGAAUUAAAUAAAUAAAAAAAUAAAAUUUAAUUUUUAUUUUUAAUUGAAUUGAAACGGUAGGAUUAUGGAUGGGGAGGGCGAUGGGCGAUGAGUUGAUUUUCAGAGAGGGAGAGAACUAGAGAAAGAGAUGAGCGAAAGAAGCGGGAAGUCCGUGGGCUGGAAAAAAUGAAAGUGGUGGGUUUGGACU
rnacentral:misc_RNA from 1 species